CCACGACAACAACUAGACAAAACAGCUCCAAUAUCAGCCUUAACACCAUCCAAAUCCCAAUCAAUGUCUUCAACCUUCAAAGACUAGCGAACCCGACCCGAAUCCACCAAAUAGACCCGAACCAGCAUCAACCAAAAUUGACCCAACUCCAUUUGAGUUGACCCGACCCUGACCCAUGCAUAUUUGCAAAGAAAUUGGUUGAAUCUUCUAGAAUAUGGUGAGUUGGCCCCCUUCAACAUUCCAAUCCCAUGAAUCUCGGGUACUAUAGUACGAAUUCGUAUACACCUAUUCAAUUUCUAUUGGUUGGUAAAGAAAUUUGAUCCCUUCAAUUCCAUUGGUUGGAGAAUUUUGGAUUUCAUCAAGAAAAUUCCAAAAUCCGUAUGAGUUGUUGGUGGAAAACGUUAUCUUGAGUUCAAAUUUUGAAUUCCCUUUGGGGAAAAGCCCUGAAAUUGCCCUUUAUUUUCUUUUUCCCACAACGUUCAAGACUGAGAAUAGACCCCCCCCCCCCCCCCCAUUCCUCCUCUAUAUAAACAACUCACUGUUGAGCAAAAAAGGGGGUUGGGGGAAAUUCUUGGGUUAGGAAUUUUAGGGAGAAAAUUGGUUCGAAAAUUGAGGUUUGAAAAAGGGGUUCGGGAAAACUUUGGUUAGAGAAAAUUUCUUUGAAAAGAAAGAAGAGGGGAAAAUUUCUAAGGGCUAAGAAUUUUCUUUCAUAAUAAAAAGUUGUCUUUUCUUUCUUCUUUUGAAAAUUGGCUGAUUAAUCGAAGGCUUUUGAGUUGAUAUCACUGAUUGCUGGUGGUGGUGGAUCCCUACUUCAGCCCGUUCGUUCCAUUUUUCUUCUCCCUAAAAGAGUUCAAAUGGGCUCCUUCUCUCUUUGCAUUUCAUAAAUGGUACCAUGAGGCUCACCUCGUUGAACUAAGCCCAAAAGAAGGUCCAAAAGUCCAUCGUUUGGCGUAUGGAUACGAGAAGACGGAAGGAAAGGAAAUGGAUCAAAGUCCUACGUUUGAAGUGGCUAAUAGAUAAAAGUCUCAUUUAUUAUUUUGUUUUGUUUAAUUUUUAUUGUCUUUAUUUAUUCUAUUUGUUUAUUUAUUUAUUCAUUCAUCCGGGCCAUGAAGCCAAGGUUGUAUUUAACACAGGUGGAGGCAAGAUUUGAGCCAAACACUCGAAAACUAGAUUAGGAUAGGUGAAAUGGGUCGAAGGCCCAUUUAGACUAGGACAGGUUUUGUUGGUUUGGGCCAAUGGACUAAAUCCCUUAGUUCCUCCCUUUCCCCCUGUUCUUUAUGUUUUUUUUUCUUA